AGUGAACGCUGGCGGUAGGCCUAACACAUGCAAGUCGAACGGCAGCACAGUAAGAGCUUGCUCUUACGGGUGGCGAGUGGUGGACGGGUGAGGAAUACAUUGGAAUCUACUUUAUCGUGGGGGUAAACGUAGGGAAAAUUACGCUACUACCGCAUAUGACCUAUGGGAGAAAGCAGGGGAUUUUUGCAGCUUGAGCGACUGAAUGAGCAGAUGUCGGAUUAGCUAGUUGGUGGGGAAAAGGCGCAGUAAGGGGACGACCCGUAGAUGGUCGGAGAGGAUGAUCAGCCACACUGGAACUGAGACACAGUCCAGACUCCGACGGGAGGCAGCAGUGGGGAAUAUUAGACAAUGGGCGCAAGCCUGAUCCAGCCAUACCGCGUAGGUGAUGAAGGCCUUCGGGUUGGAAAGCCCUUUUGUUGGGAAAGAAAAGCAGCAGGAUAAUACCCCACUGUUCUGACGGUACCCAAAUAAUAAGCACCGGCUAACUACGUG
rnacentral:rRNA from 1 species